UUGAACGCUGGCGGCAGGCCUAACACAUGCAAGUCGAGCGGUAGCACAGAGAGCUUGCUCUCGGGUGACGAGCGGCGGACGGGUGAGUAAUGUCUGGGAAACUGCCUGAUGGAGGGGGAUAACUACUGGAAACGGUAGCUAAUACCGCAUAACGUCGCAAGACCAAAGUGGGGGACCUUCGGGCCUCAUGCCAUCAGAUGUGCCCAGAUGGGAUUAGCUAGUAGGUGGGGUAAUGGCUCACCUAGGCGACGAUCCCUAGCUGGUCUGAGAAGAUGACCAGCCACACUGGAACUGAGACACGGUCCAGACUCCUACGGGAGGCAGCAGUGGGGAAUAUUGCACAAUGGGCGCAAGCCUGAUGCAGCCAUGCCGCGUGUGUGAAGAAGGCCUUCGGGUUGUAAAGCACUUUCAGCGGGGAGGAAGGCGAUAAGGUUAAUAACCUUGUCGAUUGACGUUACCCGCAGAAGAAGCACCGGCUAACUCCGUGCCAGCAGCCGCGGUAAUACGGAGGGUGCAAGCGUUAAUCGGAAUUACUGGGCGUAAAGCGCACGCAGGCGGUCUGUCAAGUCGGAUGUGAAAUCCCCGGGCUCAACCUGGGAACUGCAUUCGAAACUGGCAGGCUAGAGUCUUGUAGAGGGGGGUAGAAUUCCAGGUGUAGCGGUGAAAUGCGUAGAGAUCUGGAGGAAUACCGGUGGCGAAGGCGGCCCCCUGGACAAAGACUGACGCUCAGGUGCGAAAGCGUGGGGAGCAAACAGGAUUAGAUACCCUGGUAGUCCACGCCGUAAACGAUGUCGAUUUGGAGGUUGUGCCCUUGAGGCGUGGCUUCCGGAGCUAACGCGUUAAAUCGACCGCCUGGGGAGUACGGCCGCAAGGUUAAAACUCAAAUGAAUUGACGGGGGCCCGCACAAGCGGUGGAGCAUGUGGUUUAAUUCGAUGCAACGCGAAGAACCUUACCUGGUCUUGACAUCCACAGAACUUUCCAGAGAUGGAUUGGUGCCUUCGGGAACUGUGAGACAGGUGCUGCAUGGCUGUCGUCAGCUCGUGUUGUGAAAUGUUGGGUUAAGUCCCGCAACGAGCGCAACCCUUAUCCUUUGUUGCCAGCGGUUAGGCCGGGAACUCAAAGGAGACUGCCAGUGAUAAACUGGAGGAAGGUGGGGAUGACGUCAAGUCAUCAUGGCCCUUACGACCAGGGCUACACACGUGCUACAAUGGCAUAUACAAAGAGAAGCGACCUCGCGAGAGCAAGCGGACCUCAUAAAGUAUGUCGUAGUCCGGAUUGGAGUCUGCAACUCGACUCCAUGAAGUCGGAAUCGCUAGUAAUCGUAGAUCAGAAUGCUACGGUGAAUACGUUCCCGGGCCUUGUACACACCGCCCGUCACACCAUGGGAGUGGGUUGCAAAAGAAGUAGGUAGCUUAACCUUCGGGAGGGCGCUUACCACUUUGUGAUUCAUGACUGGGGUG
rnacentral:rRNA from 1 species